CUGACAGUGCAUACACAAAGGGUUGGUUUGAGGGAAGGUGUUAUUUGAUGUCUAUGUCAUUCAAUAACAUCACUUGAUAUGAUAUAGUACAUCACAUGGCGUGUUUCUUAUCAGCAUGACAAAAGUAAUCUCUUCCGCCAACUGUAGCGUGUCUGAAAGACAGCAAUAUAUCUGCCAAGAUUAAAUGCCUCUAUACUAAAGCUUAUUUAAAAUAAAAUUACUUCUCAAAAAAUCUCAUUGCAUAGGUUAUGUUACUGUGAAAGACGGUAAAUUUAGUAACAACAUCAUGCCCUAAAUGUAACUCAGGAAGUGGCAAUAUUCUGUAUUUAUUUUUUCUUUUCCAAACGAAAUGAGCUACAAAGCUAGGUGGAUGCCAGAGGACAUGAGCACAGAUAGACAGAUUUGCUGUGGACAAUAUUACUGUGCUCUAAUACAUUCUUUUUGUGAUUAUUCCAGGUCAAGAUAGUGCCAAAGAGGAAGUUAUAAAGCAGACUAGGAAAUUCUCCUAAAUAUAUCUCCAACAGAGUAAACAAGAGAUUAGGAAACUUGUCCUUCAUUCAAUUACACCUGGCAGGUGAAUGAGAGUGGAGCAGUAAGAGAUGCUGCUUCCAUUAGUUUUCUGCCUCUCAAUCCUUGCUGUUCAAAGUAUGGUCCACAGUCCAGCAGCUUUGGCAUCACCUGGGAACUUGAUGGAAAUGCAGAGAAGUUCAAAUUCCCACCACCGAUAUACUGAAUUAGAAACAUCUGCCCUUCAAGAAGAUCCACUGGUGAUAAUAUGCAUAUUAAAGUUUGAGUAGCACUGCCAUUCUAUAUCAGCUUGCAAAAUGAAAGCAAGAAGAAACAAAACAAAGCAUUAGCCAGUUUGGAUUUUCUGAAGUGCACUAAAUGUCAAACUCAAGAAAAGGAUUCUAUUCUGACAAGCACAAAACCCUGCACCAAGUUGAACCUGUCCUUUGUGAUGAGGCUGUUGAACAGAAGAGCAGCAUAGCAGUCUGUCUAUUCUUGCUCCACAUUCAGCUAAAUGCCAACUCCGAUCCCUUUGAGAUGGUGAACAGGCUGAACCCAGGGAUCGUGUCAUCCCUCAGUAUCCAGACUUCUUCAGAGAACCAUGUGGUGAAACUUCUUGAUUAAGGUCAUGUUCUUAGUCUAUAGCAUCAUUUUUUUUUUGUAAG
rnacentral:lncRNA from 1 species